AACGAACGCUGGCGGCAUGCCUAACACAUGCAAGUCGAACGAGACCUUCGGGUCUAGUGGCGCACGGGUGCGUAACGCGUGGGAAUCUGCCCUUGGGUUCGGAAUAACAGUUAGAAAUGACUGCUAAUACCGGAUAAUGUCUUCGGACCAAAGAUUUAUCGCCCAGGGAUGAGCCCGCGUAGGAUUAGCUAGUUGGUGAGGUAAAGGCUCACCAAGGCAACGAUCCUUAGCUGGUCUGAGAGGAUGAUCAGCCACACUGGGACUGAGACACGGCCCAGACUCCUACGGGAGGCAGCAGUGGGAAUAUUGGACAAUGGGCGAAAGCCUGAUCCAGCAAUGCCGCGUGAGUGAUGAAGGCCUUAGGGUUGUAAAGCUCUUUUACCCGGGAUGAUAAUGACAGUAUCGGGAGAAUAAGCUCCGGCUAACUCCGUGCCAGCAGCCGCGGUAAU
rnacentral:rRNA from 1 species